UAGCGGGAGCUGGAUUUGAACCAACGACCUUCGGGUUAUGAGCCCGACGAGCUACCAGACUGCUCCAUCCCGCA
rnacentral:tRNA from 1 species